rnacentral:lncRNA from 1 species
GAAAUUGUCCUUGAAAGCGCGCAUGAAGUCUGCGUAACACUGGACAGGCGUUCGGCCUUUAAGAACAGGAAGGGUGUCGCAUCCCAAUGAUAUGUAUUCAUAAUUCCUUCUCCCCCAUUGAUCGGUAUACGCAAGGUCUGGAUCUUUGUCCAUCUCUUCCACAGCCCAUUUAGGUAAAGGAAUACUGCACACAGAUAAGAAAGAUCACCACAUCAAUUACAAACCUCGAUCAGAAUUAGCACUGCAGAAAUUCAACAAAAGUUUGACCAAAUUUCCAGCUUAAGGGAAAUUCAUUUCUAGUUUGAUCAUACACAAUCCAAUGAGCUAAAUAUAUUUUCUACUCCCUAAAAUAUCGAGUGUUCUAACAUUCUCCACUUACAUCAUUUCCUUCCUAAUUGAGAUCUGCUGAGAUUAUGAAGUUACAUUUGAAAUUUAUAGAAGAAUUAAGCCCCUCCAAAUUGGCAUAAACUCAUCUUUUCCUCUAUUGAGUGCUCUAAUUCCUAAUCUCAACUAACGACUCAAUUAACUUCAACAGUCAUGAACUAAAGUGAAAGUACAUAGUAAAAGAACUUGAUUAAAUUUAGACAUGAAUAUUGAAUAAUAACAAUACCCAUGGAAGUUCAAUCUUCAGGUUCAAGGUUGAUUGAUUAACUUAACCAGAUUGACAAGCAAUUCCUCUCCAAAAAUACUUGAACGAAUCUUGAAAAGGAAACAAAUAAGAGAAAAAGGAAAAGGCGCUUACGUGACAGAGUCACCAACGUUUCCGCCACAUUGAUGGAAGGACAUGACGGCUUGGACUUUGAGGCCGUGCUUUUUAGCCAUUUCUAGAAGCUCUGUAUAGCCUCCCCAGUUGUACGAACCAGGCGAAUCUCUCUCCACCAAUCCCCACCACACAUCCAUCAUAAUCCCCUCAACUCCGGCGCUCUUCAACGCUUGUAAACUCGCGUUCAUCGCCUUCCUCCUAUUCACCGUAUUCUCCAUCGUCACACUGUCCAACGGCAUCAUCACAUACACUG